rnacentral:lncRNA from 1 species
UGCUAUGGCACAGGCAGAUGUUAAGAGCCUGAAUUUGAGGGCACGUGUCCUGCUAUGGCACAGGCAGAUGGUACGAGAUGGAAUUUGAGACCAUGGGUCCUGCUAUGGCACAGGCAGAUGGUACGAGAUGGAAUUUGAGGGCACGGGUCCUGCUAUGGCACAGGCAGAUGGUACGAGAUGGAAUUUGAGAUCAUGGGUCCUGCUAUGGCACAGGCAGAUGGUACGAGAUGGAAUUUGAGGGCACGGGUCCUGCUAUGGCACAGGCAGAUGGUACGAGAUGGAAUUGGAGGGCACGGGUCCUGCUAUGGCACAGGCAGAUGGUACGAGAUGGAAUUUGAGGGCACGGGUCCUGCUAUGGCACAGGCAGAUGGUAAGAGAUGGAAUUUGAGAGCACGGGUCCUGCUAUGGCACAGGCAGAUGGUAAGAGAUGGAAUUUGAGGGCACGGGUCCUGCUAUGGCACAGGCAGAUGGUAAGAGACGGAAUUUGAGGGCACGGGUCCUGCUAUGGCACAGGCACAUGGUACGAGAUAGAAUUUGAGGGCACGGGUCCUGCUAUGGCACAGGCAGAUGGUACGAGAUGGAAUUUGAGAGCACGGGUCCUGCUAUGGCACAGGCAGAUGUUAAGAGCCUGAAUUUGAGGGCAUGCGUCCUGCUAUGGCACAGGCAGAAUCAGCUUCAGGGUGUGACAGCCGCUCUGCUUUCGCCAUCUUGAAAUUCUUAACAAUCUGGCCUUUGAACCUGUGUUUUUUAAGUGAAGUGUGCUGGGACAAUGGAGCACAUCUGUGAUCAGUCACACACACUUUACGUGUCCAUUGUUCCUCAACACCCCACUGGCAGGAGCAUUGUUGAUGUCCCGUGCGCACAGAAUUCCGGUGGACUCCCAGUGCCUGGCAGCUAGUAAGUCAAGUGAGAACUGAGAACCAACCACUGUUUUUAGCAACACAGCGACCACUGCUGACGCUGACACAAGCAAUUGUAAUGGACACGUAGGGAGUGCAGUCCUGUUUGGAGCACAGUCGCCUGAGAACGGAGAAGAGUAGCUGGAGGGGGAAAUGGCAAAGACCAGGCUGGCCUAACCAGUAGCGGCGUGCUCUUCCACAGGGCAGGGACUGCUGGCUGGAUAUUGAAGCGCAUUCUUCCCAAAAACUAGAUGUCAUUUUCCAGUGUGCGUGUGGUCAGGGGUGGCCACGAAACCAGCCUCUUUCCAUGGCACUGUUACUUGCUUCCCAGCCUGGCCCUCAAAGCCUCUCGGUAGCUCCUCCAAGCACCUGCCCUUCUCAGCGGCUAGAAGCAGCUACAGAUG